CACUUUUGGGUGCUUGCAGGGUACAUGGGAACUUGGAACUUGCUAAAAGAGCAGCAGAAACUCUAUUUGAGCUGGAACCUGAUAAUGCUGCCAGGUAUAUUAUGUUAUCCAACGUUUAUGCAGCAGCAGGAAGGUGGGAUGAUGCUCGCAGACUGCGAAGGUACAUGGAUAACAGAGGAUUGAUGAAAGAAACAGCUUAUAGUUGGAUUGAGAUAAAAAAUAUCAAACAUAAGUUUGUCGCUAAGGAUAAGUCUCACAGUCAGUCAGAAGAAAUAAAAGAGUUGCUACUUAAACUCAUAGAUCCAAUAAAGGAUACUGGAUAUGUACUUCAUAUUGAAAGCUCAUACUUUCUCGAAGAUGAUGCAUUUUCUUGACAUCAUUGAAAGAGGUUGUAACCAUGUACAAACCUAUCUAAUUUAACAAUUAAAUAUGAUCUCUGGUGCAAAUCUGUUCUGAUGAAAUUUCUGGAAAAGAGAAAAGCGAGGGAGAAAUUUUACUUUUCCAGAUAUCACUAUCUUAAAGGUAGAAACACGACCAUGAGAUGUUAGGCACUAUUAUACAUUCUUUGUUGGCUGAAGUUUCAGAGAAGUUGAUGUUACGAGAAGCAGAUAGAUCCAUAUCCACCUCUGCGGUGCACAGGUUACUAUAUCUGCAUUCUUUCAGUGAAACGCAAACCCAGUCUGGUCAAAGUUUACUACAGCAGUAUUAAGAAGCUGGGAUAAGCUAAAGGCCAAAUAAAAAAUCAAGGACAAAAAUAUUCAGAAGAUACGGUGUGGCACAAGACAGCUCUGAGCAAAUAUCGCCCGAUAGGUUCUCUUUAAACUGGG